rnacentral:rRNA from 1 species
GUUAUCGCCUCUAAACCCAAAGAGUUUGGCGGUAUCUCAGUCUAGUUAGAGGAGCUUGUUCAGUAAUCGAUAACCCGCGAAAAAUCUUACGUAUUCUGGAGAUCAGUUUAUAUACCGUCGUUAUUAGAUAAUAUUAAAAGAUAAAUAAUUAUCCCAAUAUGUUAAAGCAUAGUAUAUCAGAUCAAGGUGUAACUUAUGAAUACGAAUAGAAUGAGCUACAAUUUAUACAAUA